AUGGAUCUCGCCGGGCGGCGGAGCUCUUGGUGCUGCAAACCGGCAACUAGAGCUCCGACCCCGCGCGUCUCGCCGGCCGCCAGGGGAUGCUGCAAUGUAACAAGCGGGCACCGCAUCCUGCGUGAUAUGCUCGUGGUCCUGCAAACUGGCAGCCGGCUCUGCGACCCCGCACAUCUCAUCGGCGGCCGGGGAUGCUGCAAUGUAACGCGUGGUAGCGUCACCGGGGAUCUUGCCCUGGACAGCGGUGAUGUAGUGCAACUGCGACCUGCAUAUCUCGCCGGCGGCCGAAGUUGUUAUGCAACACACGCGGUGAUGCCCGCCGCCGGCGGAGCUGCAAUGGAACUUGGGUGGUGCUGCGACCCACAGAUUUGGCCGACGAGGAAGCUGCAAUGCAAUGUGUGUGGUGCCCUGACCUGCUGA
rnacentral:rRNA from 1 species